rnacentral:rRNA from 1 species
GACGAACGCUGGCGGCGUGCCUAAUACAUGCAAGUAGAACGCACAGUUUAUACCGUAGCUUGCUACACCAUAGACUGUGAGUUGCGAACGGGUGAGUAACGCGUAGGUAACCCGCCUGGUAGCGGGGGAUAACUAUUGGAAACGAUAGCUAAUACCGCAUAAUAUUAAUUAUUGCAUGAUAAUUAAUUGAAAGGUGCAAUUGCACCACUACCAGAUGGACCUGCGUUGUAUUAGCUAGUAGGUGAGGUAACGGCUCACCUAGGCGACGAUACAUAGCCGACCUGAGAGGGUGAUCGGCCACACUGGGACUGAGACACGGCCCAGACUCCUACGGGGGGCAGCAGUAGGGAAUCUUCGGCAAUGGACGAAAGUCUGACCGAGCAACGCCGCGUGAGUGAAGAAGGUUUUCGGAUCGUAAAGCUCUGUUGUAAGAGAAGAACGGGUGUGAGAGUGGAAAGUUCACACUGUGACGGUAUCUUACCAGAAAGGGACGGCUAACUACGUG